GAUGAAGAACGUAGUGAAAUGCGAUAAGUAAUGUGAAUUGCAGAAUUCAGUGAAUCAUCGAAUCUUUGAACGCACAUUGCGCCCGCCAGUAUUCUGGCGGGCAUGCCUGUCUGAGCGUCAUUUCAACCCUCAAGCAACUUCUGCUUGGUGUUGGGGAUCGGCCGUUAAACGCCGCCCCCGAAAUCUAUUGGCGAUCUCGCUGUAGCUUCCUAUGCGUAGUAGUAACAUCUCGCAUCUGGAGAGCGGCGCGGUCAUGCCGUAAAACACCCAACUUCUCAGGUUGACCUCAGAUCAGGUAGGAAUACCCGCUGAACUUAAGCAUAUCAAUAAGCGGAGGA
rnacentral:misc_RNA from 1 species